CCACUCUAAAUGUGGUUCUGGUCCAGACUAGUCCAGUCCUAAAUGCUGGUUGGUUGUAGUUUGUCAGAUCCAGUCUGGGCUCCAAAUGUGAAACACUUUGAAUUAA